AUGUUGAUGAUGGGGGAUUAUUCUAGUCGUGAUUUGUUGGUGCGGCAAGCGGAAUCGAUGAGGCCUCUCCGAUUGGACGUUCGAGGUGAGGGCGGAAACGCAGAGGAGGGCUGCAGGGCCGGGCGGAAAAGUGAGGUCUGUUGGCGAAGGUCCUGGAACCUGCAUCGUCUAAGCUUCUGGUGACUUACACCAAGAGCCACUGAAGAUAUGCUGCUGCCCUUCCCAUGUGACAGCUGACCUGUGACCACUGUCCCCAACAAGGCCAUUGAGACCACAGGACCCCAGGACACCCAUCUAGGUAGUGGCCUGUAUCUAUAUUGACAUGGUUCCACUUGGCUGGUGGACACGAUCAGAAGUAGAUUGCAAACUGCUCCAGAGAUGAUCUGCACUGUAUCAGACCCAAGCAGUCCUACAAAACCAGAAAGCCCUGGACUUACUGAUGUGAGCCAGCCCAGAAGUCUCUUCAGUUGGGUCAGCAAACCAUAUGCUUCUGGUGAGUGCCUUACUGUCCUAAUUUCCUCCCCUACUCUGGCUAAUAGUCCAGCCUUC
rnacentral:sRNA from 1 species